UGGGGGAUAUUGCACAAUGGGCGAAAGCCUGAUGCAGCGACGCCGCGUGGGGGAUGAAGGCCUUCGGGUUGUAAACUUCUUUUGCCCUGAACAAGGCAUGCCUUUGGGGUGUGUUGAGUGUAGGGGUUGAUUAGCGCCGGCUAACUACGUGCCAGCAGCCGCGGUAAUACGUAGGGCGCGAGCGUUGUCCGGAAUUAUUGGGCGUAAAGGGCUUGUAGGUGGCUGGUUGCGUCUGUCGUGAAAGCUCAUGGCUUAACUGUGGGUUUGCGGUGGGUACGGGCUGGCUUGAGUGCAGUAGGGGAGGCUGGAAUUCCUGGUGUAGCAGUGGAAUGCGCAGAUAUCAGGAGGAAUACCGGUGGCGAAGGCGGGUCUCUGGGCUGUUACUGACGCUGAGGAGCGAAAGCGUGGGGAGCGAACAGG
rnacentral:rRNA from 1 species